rnacentral:rRNA from 1 species
CUACGGGUCGCUGCAGUGGGGAAUAUUGCACAAUGGGGGAAACCCUGAUGCAGCAACGCCGCGUGGAGGAUGACGCAUUUCGGUGUGUAAACUCCUUUUAUAUCCCAAGAUAAUGACGGUAGGAUAUGAAUAAGCACCGGCUAACUCCGUGCCAGCAGCCGCGGUAAUACGGAGGGUGCAAGCGUUACUCGGAAUCACUGGGCGUAAAGGGCGCGUAGGCGGGUUGUCAAGUCUUGAGUGAAAUCCAACGGCUCAACCGUUGAACUGCUUGAGAAACUGGCAGCCUAGAGUAAGGGAGAGGUAGAUGGAAUUGGUGGUGUAGGGGUAAAAUCCGUAGAGAUCACCAGGAAUACCCAUUGCGAAGGCGAUCUGCUGGAACUUUACUGACGCUGAGGCGCGAAAGCGUGGGGAGCAAACAGGAUUAGAUACCCCGGUAGUC